AGAACUGAUACUUUUCCUGAUUUAUUGGUCUGAAGCUUGAUGCAUAUGGAGGCCUGAAAAAUAAGGAUGUGGCAUACAGACAGGCUCUCCUGGUGUUAUCAGGCAUCUAUGCAUGUGAUAUGCAGGGAGAAUUUGGUGGAUGGAACUUAAGCCGGUACCAGGGGGGCGGGGGAAGAGUUGGGAAAGGACGCCAUCUGUGCCCAUGAUGACAAAUGCCAUCAUGGAGACUUCAUUCGGGGUCCCUUUUAUAUAUUUAGUGAAGCAGAUUUUCCAUUUCACACUUUCUAGAUAUAUUUGUAUUGCACAGAUGUCAGGGAAAUAUCAUGUGUGUGAAAGAAAAAAAAAAGAUCAAAAUUCACAUCCAUGGCCAGGGAUUGUAAUUCAAUCAUUUUGUCCUGAAAUUGACAUCCAUUUAACGUGCAUGGAUGUUCCCUGCUUUUGCUUUUGCUUUGGGGGUUCAAGUCAGAGCAGUUGGAGAAACAUAAAUCUCAGCCCUACACAUUGUUAAAAUUCAGAGAUCUAGGUUAAGGGGGGAAAAGAUGGGGAGAAUAAAAUUAAACAUAUAAGACCUUGCCAUCAGUGCCGUCAGUACCAGAGCUGAUGAAAUCAAUCAGCAAGUGAUUCCUCAUCCUCUUUCCUGUAACACACAGAUGAGCUGAAGAAACCACAGGACGCAGUCAAAUAUGCUUCAAAAAGGUUGUCCCACUGGCCUUCUUCACUCCCUCCAUCUCAGCCUCUAAAGACAUAUUUUAUUGUGACAUAUUUGAUUUUGACAAACAGCACAUUGAACAUAUAUGAAAUAUAUGAAGCAAAAUAUGACACACACCCACCAUGCAGCCUGAGACCAGAAGAUCACCAUCUUAUUUGAAGCUACUUUUGUGUUUCUGCCACCUCUCACCUUUUGCCUGUCUUGAGAGCACCUCGAUCAGCCUCCCUACUAAAUGCUGAGCUCCUCUAGGUUAAGGGCUUGUCACACUUCUCUUAGUAUUCCUGAAACUACUUGCCUCAGUAUCUGCCUCAGCAGGUACUUCUUUCUCCGAAUGUGAAAUGAGCUCAAGGAACAACCUAAGAGUUGAGAAGGUCUGCAUUUCGUUGCUUCUAGAAUGCUAUACGCCAUGUUGUGUCCACAAAAUGCGUACCCCAAAGAACAGAUGAAAUGAAACCAUAGAUAAACGUGUAAGAGGUACUUUUGAAAGCAGAGCUAUAAAACUCAGUUCCAUAUUCAUCAUGGCUUGGAUGUCCAGAACUUGCUUACAUCUAUUUGUGGACUUUUUUGUAUCAAAGAGAAUGGAUCAAUCAAAUAAGAAAAGAAGAGUGCAUUGGGAGUCAGGAGACUGAGGUGUGGUCUGGCUCUGCUGCUAACUUCAAGUUUACACUCAAUUGAUCAAGUCCCUUGAUGACAUGGAACUAAAGUGACUUUUGAAGAACAUGAGUACCUCAAGGAUCUUGCUAAAAUACAGAUUCUGAUCUAAUAAUGCAGCCUUGUGAGAUAGUGAACUCUCCAUUCCUGGAAGUAUUCAAGCUAAGGUUGGAGAGGUGAUGACGGUUUCCAUUAUUUUGGAGGGUGAACUUCCAAGAUGAAGAACAUGAGUCUUAGAGAAGUCAAAGAAGUUGCCUAAGGUCACAUGAGCAGUGAGCAGAGGAGUUGCUUACCUUUGUUAGACUCCAAAUCCUGUGUGACUAUGAAACUCAUUAACUGAAACAACCCGGCACCUUUGGACCUGUGCAGGCAAAGGCAAGGGAGUUGACCAGGAGCACACAGCACAGACGAGAACAGUCCCAAAGCCUUUUGCUGUAUCCCAUCUGUGCAAACCACUCCCAAUAAACAAACAAACACAC
ensembl:lncRNA HECW1-IT1 HECW1 intronic transcript 1